rnacentral:rRNA from 1 species
CCUACGGGAGGCUGCAGUGAGGAAUAUUGGUCAAUGGGAGAGAUCCUGAACCAGCCAAGCCGCGUGAGGGAAGAAGGACCUAUGGGUUGUAAACCUCUUUUGUCGGGGAACAAAACCCGGGACGUGUCCCGGACUGCGUGUAUCCGAAGAAAACGCAUCGGCUAACUCCGGGCCAGCAGCCGCGGUAAUACGGAGGAUGCGAGCGUUAUCCGGUGUUAUUGGGGUAAAGGGGUGGGUAGGGGGACCGUUAAGUCUGCGGGAAAAUGGCGGGGCUCAACCCCGUCGAGCCGUUGAAACUGGGAAGCUAGAGUUGGCGAGAGGUACGCGGAAUUCGCGGUGUAGCGGUGAAAUGCAUAGAUAUCGCGAAGAACUCCGGUUGCGAAGGCAGCGUACCGGCGCCAGACUGACGCUGAGGCACGAAAGCGUGGGGAGCGAACAGGAUUAGAUACCCGAGUAGUC